rnacentral:rRNA from 1 species
CAGGGCGGUUAUAGCUGCGGGGCUCACCUGUUCCCAUUCCGAACACAGAAGUUAAGCCCGCCUAGCGCCGAUGGUACUGCACCACAAUGCGGGAGAGUAGGUCGCCGCCGGUU